rnacentral:rRNA from 1 species
GCUCAGGACGAACGCUGGCGGCGUGCCUAAUACAUGCAAGUCGAACGCUUCUUUUUCCACCGGAGCUUGCUCCACCGGAAAAAGAGGAGUGGCGAACGGGUGAGUAACACGUGGGUAACCUGCCCAUUAGAAGGGGAUAACACUUGGAAACAGGUGCUAAUACCGUAUAACAAUCAAAACCGCAUGGUUUUGAUUUGAAAGGCGCUUUCGGGUGUCGCUGAUGGAUGGACCCGCGGUGCAUUAGCUAGUUGGUGA